UACGUAGGGUGCGAGCGUUGUCCGGAAUUAUUGGGCGUAAAGAGCUUGUAGGUGGUUUGUCGCGUCUGCUGUGAAAUCCGAGGCUCAACCUCGGACUUGCAGUGGGUACGGGCAGACUAGAGUGUGGUAGGGGAGAUUGGAAUUCCUGGUGUAGCGGUGGAAUGCGCAGAUAUCAGGAGGAACACCGAUGGCGAAGGCAGAUCUCUGGGCCAUUACUGACGCUGAGGAGCGAAAGCGUGGGGAGCGAACAGG
rnacentral:rRNA from 1 species